rnacentral:rRNA from 1 species
AUUGAACGCUGGCGGCAGGCCUAACACAUGCAAGUCGAGCGGAUGACGGGAGCUUGCUCCUUGAUUCAGCGGCGGACGGGUGAGUAAUGCCUAGGAAUCUGCCUGGUAGUGGGGGACAACGUUUCGAAAGGAACGCUAAUACCGCAUACGUCCUACGGGCGAAAGCAGGGGACCUUCGGGCCUUGCGCUAUCAGAUACGCCUCGGUCGGAUUAGCUAGUUGGUGGGGUAAUGGCUCACCAAGGCGACGAUCCGUAACUGGUCUGAGAGGAUGAGCAGUCACACUGGAACUGAGACACGGUCCAGACUCCUACGGGAGGCAGCAGUGGGGAAUAUUGGACAAUGGGCGAAAGCCUGAUCCAGCCAUGCCGCGUGUGUGAAGAAGGUCUUCGGAUUGUAAAGCACUUUAAGUUGGGAGGAAGGGCAGUAAGUUAAUACCUUGCUGUUUUGACGUUACCGGCAGAAUAAGCACCGGCUAACUCUGUGCCAGCCGCCGCCGUAA